rnacentral:rRNA from 1 species
AUGCUGAAAAUUGAUCUUGCUAAAGCUUUUGAUCGCCUAGAAUGGAAUUUCAUUGUGUCUGCUCUCACACGUAAAGGGUUGCAUCGUCAUUUCAUUAACUUGAUAUAUGCAUGCAUUUCCUUGCCUACUUUCUCUGUGCUCAUUAAUGGCCAGCCUUCUCAUAAAUUUAGAAGUUCUAGAGGUAUUCGUCAGGGCUGUCCUAUGUCUCCUUAUUUGUUUGUUAUUGCCAUUAAUGAGCUCUCUCUUGCCCUUAAUGAAGCUCUAGCUGCUCAACAUCUACAAGGAAUUUCGCUUGGACCAAAUUGCUCUCCUAUCCAUUCUUUGUUGUUUACAGAUGAUCUGUUGGUUUGUGGCCAAGCUAAUAUGUAGGAAGAAAAUUCUAUGGCUCAACUCUCAUCACUUUUGUUCUAUUUCAGGUCAAACUCCAAACUAGGCCAAAUCGGCUAUUCUUUUUAG